GAAAGUAAAGCUAUUGGAAACCAGGUUCGUGAACCCUUCACCCACUCAACUCAGUCUUACCACCAAAAUUAGAAUAUAGUUUAUUCAUGUUGGUAGCUGCAAGCAACUUAUAAGCUCAUGCUUUUAUUAAUUGGUGUGAAUUUUUUUCUCUUAUUCUCUCGGGUUUUCUUUAUAUUAUUCAUCAUUUCAUAUCGUAUAUAUUAAAAUCAAGAGAAUAUAGGAUAUUCAAGUUUCCUUAUUCUUUUCUAAGAACGCUGAAACUAUAGGAUAUUGGAGUCACUACUUGUGGCAGAUAGCUGAACCAGCUUUUAACUACUAUAUGAACAUGAGAAAAUGAGCAUGAGAAAUCAAGGAAACUAAAGGAAUGGAUAGUUGAGAGACACACCUCAAAAAGGAUCUAGAAAAGAGAGUAUCUCAUCCUCUUAUUUUCAUUUCGUCUUCUUUUCAGCUCAAAUUCAUCAUCGAAAAUGUAAGUAGCUCUCUUUUAUUAUAUCGAAAUUAUUCAUGUAAUUCAUCUUUACUUUUUAUUUUUGGUUCUAAUCUUGUUUACUCUAUCUCCUUUGGAUUACUCUUUUUCUUCUGUGAGUUUUCUCUUCUUUUUCUUUAGUUAUUUUUUGAAUUUUUUUGUUUUGAUUGAUGAAUAGUUGCGAUAUUUGGAGUAUGUGAUGUUAUAAACUGAUAUUUCAUGGAAAAAAAAUUUAAAUUAAAAGAUUUACUGUUUGGCUUUGACUUUUGAGUUGACCUUGUAACUAUCGAAGUUCAAGUUAUCUGUUUAAGUUUGUAGUUAUCUUUUUGUUGUGUUUUCCGUUUAUGUGAUGAGCUACUGUGAAAUUUUUAGUGUUUAGAACCUGAGAGAAGUGGAAGAGUAACUAAUUGACUUUUAAUUGAAAUAAUUUUUAAUACUAUCUGGUUCGAAGUUAAUAUGAACAUGAGAAAUCAAGGACCAAAAGCCAAGGAAAAAACAUUAGAAGAUACAAUACAAGAUCCAUUAAGGUUCAUGAUAACUAGUUUUAGAAUCAACUUAGAGAAAUUUCCAUUGAAAUAGAAGAAAUAACAUACAAUUCACCCCUUUUUUAAACUCACAAACAAUAAACUAUAUUAGAAUCCUUACUGAAUUUUGAUAUUUAAGCAAGUGAAAGCAUUUGAUAAUUCCAAAGCCCAGAACCCAAAAGAUCACAUAAAAGAAUUGCAUACAGUUCAUUUGACUGCAUUUAUCUUGCUUCCUCAAUAAAAAUGGAAAAGCAAAGAAAUGUUUGAUCAGUCCUCUCAUAAAAAAUUUAACUCCUAACAUAGUACUAGAUUCAUCAAGAUGAUGAUCAUGACAGUUUUCCCACAGACGUCCAUUUUAACACCAGAAAUCAACUAUCAAGUAACAAUAAAUUGAAUUCCAACAAAAUAACAGAAAUAAGGGCAUGGGUAUUGACGAUUAAAGGGUAAAGAGAAAACCAAAAUCAAAAUUUUACCCAAAAAAAUAGAAGAAAUGAAGCUUUUGGGAAUCACCUGAAAGAAGUAUAGUUAUAGAAUUCAACAUCCAAACACAUGAAAAGAAGUGAAGCAGAGGAGAAAAUUGUUUGUCCCAAACGAAGAGCCAAGCUAGCGCUAAUUCCCAAUGACCCUGGCACUGGCUCCAUCAUUUUUCAAGUCAGCUUAUCUCUCCGUUUCUUCAUCUUUAAAUUCCCAAACAAGAAAGAAGAAAACAAAGUUCCAAAGAAAGUGAAGUGAUAUCUGAAAUUCCGAAAAAGUAUGCUUGCAAAAAAGGUUCUACCUUUGGGUUUUGUUUCUAUAAUGAAGAACUUGGAAGAGAGAAAGAAAAAAAGGAAGAUAGUGUUUUGUUACCAAAUAUCUAUGGACUCGAUUGAAUAAAAAAUGAACAGAUAGGGGAAUGGCCUGCUCUCUCUCUCGAUGCUUUGUUUUUGUUAAUGCCAUAAAAGAAGAAUUGUAAAUGUUGCAGCAAGCAACUAGAUCAAUGAUGAAAGAUAGAAUGCCACUAGAUCAAUGAUGAAAGUAGCUAUGAUUUAGCGAUAGUGUCCAUGGAGAGGUGAAAGAGUUGCUUUGGUUCAAGUCAGGAAAGAAUCUGACUAAGAAAGAAAGGCUCUAUGUUUCAUAGAGAUAGAGGCAUACUAUAUAAGAGCAAAACAUCAAAGAAAAAAAACAAAUUUAGGGUAAUAGAAGAGCAAGCACAAACUGAAUGAUGCAAAACCCAGAAAUAAAUAGAUUUUAAAUAAAACAUAAAAGAAGAAGAAGAAGAUUCUUCAACAGACUGAUACAAAAUCCAAACAGAUGCAAAAUCCAAAUAGAUUCUUCAACAAAAGAAAAAAAAGGAAGAAGAUUUGAGUGAGAGAGGUGACAAAUUGAAUGAAAUACAGAGUAAAGCAUAAAAAAGUUAUCUUGAGCUUUGUUUCAGGAAGGGAACUGGUCCAAUUGGAUGAUGAAGAAGAAGGACGGAAGGAGGAGGAAAGAUGGAAAAUGUCUUACAGAAAUAAAAUCGGUAAGACAUUUUCCCCAAAUCCCUUAUCAUUUUCCCGUGUUUCUGAAAAUGUUUUACCAAUGUAGGUGAUUUUCAAGCAAACAAAUACUGGAAAACCAGUAAAACAUUUUCCAGAAAAUGUUUUCCUAGUAAACAAACAGACCCUAGAUUGGAAAGAUGAAAUAAUAAAAGAUGGUAUUUUAAUUAAAUAAAAAAUAUCAUCAUUUAUAUCAUCUUUCCUAAACAAAAUACAUGAAAACCCUAGUUAGAAGAGCCUGAAGAUAGACAAGCUUAUUUUUCUCAAUUAGGUGAGCAUUCAAGUCCCGUUUUUAAUGAUUUUUAUGUUCCCGAGAUCGUAAUAGCUUAAUUUAGCUAUCUCGGGGAUUAAUUUGUAAAGUUAUCAAAGUACUAGGGUUUUUCCAUGAAUUAAUAUGCAUGAAUUAUGAAGUUUUAUGGUAGAAAUUGAAAAAUUGUUGAUAGAUAAACAACUUCUGUAAAGGGAAUUUUGAUGAAAUUUUAUUUAGGGACUAAAUUGAAAAGAUGUAAAAUUCAUGAAAAAUUUUGAAUUUUGUGAAAUACAUGGGCUGCUAAUGUUACAUAUAAAAAUCGGCUAGGCUUGGAAUAAGGAUUAAAUUGCAUGAAUUUCAUUUUCCGAGCCUAGGGACGAAAUCAGAAUUAAAUAAAAGUAUAAGGACAAAAUGAUACUUUUGACUAAGAUGUGAAUUGGAUUUAAUUGAGUAUGAAUUGUAUUAAAUUAAUGAUAAAUGCAUAUAUGUGAAUUUGGUAAGUUAGGUAAGUUUGUAUACUUGGUUAUAAGAGGUAUUAUAUCAUGUAUAAGACCUGAUUUUGAAUGGAUUUGAAUGUCUUGUAUUGGCUUGAGAAUAUGUUUAAGUGUUUAUAUAGGUGAAAGACAAAUUUGGGUGAGAAAUAUGUCUUAGAAAUGACCUUAUUUUGUCAACACGGGCGUAUGUCUCAAUCGUGUGUGACACAUGACCUAGCACAUGGGUGUGUGACUUGGUCGUGUGUGACACACGGCCCCCUGCAUCUUUAAGAUCUCAAAACAAAAUGCACAAAAUUGAUCACACGGCCUGGCACACGGCGUGUGGCUUGGCUGUGUGACCCUUGCACCUAUUUAAUGAAAAUUAUUAUGUUCACACGGCCUAGCACACGGGCGAGUGACUUGGCUGUGUGACCCAAGAUAGAGAGUUACACGGGUACUAACACGGGUUGGGACACGGUUGUGUGCCUUAUUUCGAAUGUCCACACGGCCUAAGACACGGGCGUGUAUGUCCCUUGCACCUAAGAAAUUUUUUGAAGUUUCGCGAAAAAUUCUUUGAGUACCCGGUUUAGUCCCGACUUGAUUCUAAUGCGUGCUUUGAGUCUCGAGGGCUCACAUAAGGGACGAUAUGAUUGAUUGUUACAAGUUUAUGAUAUGAAUGUGAAAUGAUGUAAAAUUGUUUGUAUUUUAUCUGUAAAUCUUGGUAAUACUCCGUAAUCCUAUUCCAGCGACAAAUAAGAGUUAGAGGUGUUAGAACAACAAUCUUCAUUAGGGCAAAAAACUGGCUGAUAAAACAUUAACAUAAUAUGCACGCUUUAGUGAAGGUAAGAUUUGUUUCAUCAUCUUCUCCAAAGCUCCCCAAAAUGGAAAUUUUUGUUUUAGUCUCUUUAAAGAUUAAAUUAUUUUAACCAAUACAAUAGUAAAAACGUACUUUUCACCUUUAAAAUUUUAUAAUUCAAUUCUAACCUUUCAAAAAUAAAUAAUUUAUAGGUUAAUCCUUCUAUAAAUUGGAAAAUUUUAAACUAAUAUAAUUAUAAAAUUAUAUUUUAACUUAAUUUUGGUCGCCAUAAAUUUUUUUGGCUUUUUCCUUACCUAUAGGUAUUCCAUAAUAAAUGGCAUCUCUUUCAUCUCAACUUUUUGUUCUUACAUUUUCCUCUCCUUUUUCACUAUAUUAUUUUUUUCUUGAUUCACUAUACUAAUUUAAGUAUUGAAAAUCAUCUCACAGCACUCGAUGCCCCUUAGCUCUCCCAUGUAUUGCAAGAGUCUCUGAAUAUUUAAGUCCAUCCCACCUCCAUCAAAGGUCACUCUCCUACCUAAUCCAUUAGAAACUGCAUCAACACUUAUCAUCUUUACUAGGGAAUGAGCAAAAUCCAUGGCUCAACCGCUUAAUGUGUCAAUCUUCAGCUUGAACAAUAUUAAAUUUUGUUUUUUCACCAUAUUAUUUUUAAAGUCAUAUGUUACAUAAAUCUCUCUGAGCUUCUUGAGAGUUUUUUUGGUGGAGAUGAAUAUAAUGUAUAUUUGCGUUGUUUUGAAAUAUACUUUGAUAUUUAAGUUAAGGUCUUUUAAAAUAAUUUUUUUAAAAAAUUAUAUAUUUAUAAAGUACAAUAAUAAAUAUAACCCUCAAC
rnacentral:lncRNA from 1 species